rnacentral:rRNA from 1 species
CCUACGGGUGGCAGCAGUGGGGAAUAUUGCGCAAUGGGGGGAACCCUGACGCAGCCAUGCCGCGUGAAUGAAGAAGGCCUUCGGGUUGUAAAGUUCUUUCGGUGAUGAGGAAGGUGAUAAGGUUAAUACCCUUAUUAAUUGACGUUAGUCACAGAAGAAGCACCGGCUAACUCCGUGCCAGCAGCCGCGGUAAUACGGAGGGGGCGAGCGUUAACCGGAAUAACUGGGCGUAAAGGGCACGCAGGCGGAUUUUUAAGUGAGGUGUGAAAGCCCUGGGCUUAACCUGGGAAUUGCAUUACAGACUGGGGAUCUUGAGUGCUUUAGAGGGGGGUGGAAUUCCACGUGUAGCGGUGAAAUGCGUAGAGAUGUGGAGGAACACCGAAGGCGAAGGCAGCCCCUUGGGAAUGUACUGACGCUGAUGUGCGAAAGCGUGGGGAGCAAACAGGAUUAGAUACCCUAGUAGUC